UACGAAGGGAGCUAGCGUUGUUCGGAAUCACUGGGCGUAAAGCGCACGUAGGCGGAUGUGUCAGUCAGGGGUGAAAUCCCGGAGCUCAACUUCGGAACUGCCUUUGAUACAGCACAUCUGGAGUCCGGAAGAGGUGGGUGGAAUUCCUAGUGUAGAGGUGAAAUUCGUAGAUAUUAGGAAGAACACCCGUGGCGAAGGCGGUUCUCUGGGACGGUACUGACGCUGAGACGCGAAAGCGUGGGGAGCGAACAGG
rnacentral:rRNA from 1 species